UACGUAGGUGGCAAGCGUUAUCCGGAUUUACUGGGUGUAAAGGGAGCGUAGACGGCUGUGCAAGCCAGAUGUGAAAGCCCGGGGCUCAACCCCGGGACUGCAUUUGGAACUGUGUAGCUGGAGUGUCGGAGAGGCAGGCGGAAUUCCUAGUGUAGCGGUGAAAUGCGUAGAUAUUAGGAGGAACACCAGUGGCGAAGGCGGCCUGCUGGACGAUGACUGACGUUGAGGCUCGAAAGCGUGGGGAGCAAACAGG
rnacentral:rRNA from 1 species